AACGUUUGAUAGUCCAUCGUUUGCAAGAAAAAUGAGAAAAAUCAUAUGCGUAUCAAGGAUCCCAAUCGAUACGAUACAAUCGAUUCCUCAUUCGGUGUAUCCAUUGACUUAGACAAUAUAACAAACUUUUUCUACUUCCAAUUGUUUGAUAGUCGUUCGAUAGUGUUUGAUAGUCUUGUAAAAACAUUUGAUAGUCAAUAGUUUCUUUCAGAUAUCAGUGCCGCGAUCAGAUGCAUCCAAUGAACAGAGAAACAACGAUGCGCUCUCCGCUCUCGGCUUAUUUUCGAACACACCUAUAGUUCUCCGGUGCACAUGAAAAAGCUUCUAAAAAUGGACUUAUAGCCUUUCCAGGGCUCAAUCGAUGCGAAAUCGUUUGAUAGUUACGAAUUGACUAAUAAAAACGUUUGAUAGUCCAUCGUUUGCAAGAAAAAUGAGAAAAACCAUAUGCGAAUCAAGGCUACACGUAGUUAGCCCCUCAUCUAUAACGGAUUUGAAUGAUUUUUUGUUUGCAAUCGUUUGUAGGUCGUUUGUACGUGUUUGAUAUUGUAUCCACGACGAUUGAUAGUCCAUCAUUUAUUUAUAAUAUUAAAAUUAAUUUUCUAGGGAAUUUUUCUUUAUGUUAGCCCCUCAUUCAAAUAUUUUAUAAACUAAUCGUGUUUUGCUCAUAUGCAAUCGUUUGUAGGUCGUUUGUAGGUACUUUAUAUGUCAUUGAUGAUAUGAAAUGACUGAUUCUUUAAUCGUAAAUAAUGAAAGAAAUUUUAUCUAGGGAAUUCCAUAAACUGCAUCUAGCGCGCAUGCGUGAAGACUUCAAUAUGUCAAAUCACAUUUUACAUGUACUCAUCCGUAUAUUGUUAUUAAAUAUUGCAAUCCGAGAUAUCAGAUAUUUAUUAGUGCUCUUUUCUUAGUUCUGAAAUAUUUACAAUUGUACAGUUUAGUAUUUACUAUUUCAUAUUCAUUAAAUUGUUAAUUAAGUGGAUGAUUAUAAAGAAAGGUCGAGUAGUACUCUUAAGGUUAUAUGAUAAAUGCAGCAAACGAAUGACGAUGGUGAUAAUUGUGUCAGCAGAAAUUUUGAAUCUCUUCUGAAUGCUGGUGAUAUUGAGGUAGAGUUUAAAGCAGUUAUUAUCUACAGAGAAGGAAAUACUGUGUAAUCUGUUCUCGGUUUUCUUAUUCAAAAGAAGUGGAUGCUCUAACAACGGAUAAACAUGUAUCAUCAAUUGUUCUUGAAAAAUAGACUCUGUUUUGGAUGCUUAACGUGAAUGGAACGUUGGCUUUAUCUCUACAUAAAUACUGUUACCUCCAUCACAAUUAAGAGAUACCGGUGUCCAG